ACCUACAGUUUCAAACUCUUAAUCUAAUUCUCACUAGCAUUUUCCUUUAAAAACCAACAAACACAACGUUCCGGCUUUAGGAAGUUACAAACCUCACCUCUAUCUCCACCAUAAAGCCUACUUCUUAUUAAUUUAAUUCCCACCACAAUCUCCACCAUAAAGCCCAUUUAUUAAUUCCCACCACUAUCUCCACCAUAAUUCCCACCACUAUAUCUAUAUAUCUAUAUCUUUAUUUAUAUCAGUUUCUCUCUUCAUCUUUGCCAAAACCUACAGUUUCAAACUCUUAAUCUAAUUCUCACUAACGUUUUCCCUUAAAAACCAACAAAUACAACGUUCCGGCUUUAAGAAAUUACAAAUUUGUACCUUUCAUAUUCCUUCUCCCUCAACUUCUUUCUUUAUCUCUCUCUACAUUCUUCUCUUUGUCCCUCUAUCUAAAACGCCAAAGCACAUUGUCUCAUUCUACAAACCUUCCUUCUUCUUACCUCUCGCCUUUCUUUGACUCUAACAAUGAUGAAGAAGCAUGAUGGUUUAAUCCGAACUAUUUAAAUUGGAGCUAUUGACAACGGUGUUGUUGAAGGCGAGAGUGGCCUCGAUGAUCGCCUCCUAGGCUGUUCGUUUCUCCAACUCAGAAGACUGAGUUGUCCUGCACAAUGAUUUAAAGGCUUCCCAACAGAUCUUGAAUUGGCAAGCAAGCAAAAGCUACCUUUAAGAGUUUUAAGAAAUUCAGUUUAUUUCAAGGUCAUUAAAGCUAUUGGGAACUUAUACUCGUGGGCCUAUCUGUUGGGAACUUAAUUGCUUGAUGAGAUGAAAUGGUUUAAAGAAAAGAGAUGGAACUCUAGAAGGAGGAUGCUUGGGUGAAGAUUGUUAGGUGAAUGAUCUCCAAAAUCAUAUAAAUGUAGAAUAUAUUUAUGCAAUGAGGUUUAUUUAUAUGUAAUAAUUUAUAUUAGAAAAUAAUGUUAAUUUAUAUGUAAUAUGAAGUUGUAUAGAUUUG